CAAUAGCGUAUAUUAAAGUUGUUGCAGUUAAAAAGCUCGUAGUUGGAUCUCAGGUCCCGGCUCGCGGUUCACCUAGCGGUGCUUACUGCCCGUCCGGACCUACCCGCCGGUUGUCCCUUGGUGCUCUUCACUGAGCGGCUCGGGUGGCCGGAACGUUUACUUUGAAAAAAUUAGAGUGUUCAAAGCAGGCGGCUCGCCUGGAUAAUGGUGCAUGGAAUAAUGGAAUAGGACCUCGGUUCUAUUUUGUUGGUUUUCGGAGCUCGAGGUAAUGAUUAAGAGGGACAGACGGGGGCAUUCGUAUUACGGUGUUAGAGGUGAAAUUCUUGGAUCGCCGUAAGACGAACUACUGCGAAAGCAUUUGCCAAGAAUGUUUUCAUUGAUCAAGAACGAAAGUUAGGGGAUCGAAGACGAUUAGAUACCGU
rnacentral:rRNA from 1 species